rnacentral:rRNA from 1 species
UACGUAGGUGGCAAGCGUUGUCCGGAUUUAUUGGGCGUAAAGCGAGCGCAGGCGGUUCCUUAAGUCUGAUGUGAAAGCCCCCGGCUCAACCGGGGAGGGUCAUUGGAAACUGGGGAACUUGAGUGCAGAAGAGGAGAGUGGAAUUCCAUGUGUAGCGGUGAAAUGCGUAGAUAUAUGGAAGAACACCAGUGGCGAAGGCGGCUUUCUGGACUGUAACUGACGUUGAGGCUCGAAAGUGUGGGUAGCAAACAGG